CCCGAACUGGCGGCAUGCCUACACAUGCAGUCGUACGGAGAGUGGGGCAACUCACUCUCAGUGGCAAACGGGUGAGUAACACGUGAAUAACCUGCCUUUGAGAAGGGAAUAACUGUCCGAAAGGAUAGCUAAUACCCUAUAUUGCCUUUUGUCACUAAGGCAAAAGGUGAAAGCGAGGCUGUCAAAGGCUUCGGCUCAAAGAGGGGUUCGCGUCCUAUCAGGUAGUUGGUGGGGUAAUGGCCUACCAAGCCAAUGACGGGUAGCUGGUCUUAGAGGAUGAUCAGCCACAGUGGGACUGAGACACGGCCCGCACCCCUACGGGGGGCAGCAGUGGGGAAUCGUGGGCAAUGGGCGCAAGCCUGACCCCGCAAUGCCGCGUGAGGGAAGAAGCCCUUCGGGGUGUAAACCUCUGUCAGAUGGGAAGAUGGGACUAGGGGCUAAUACCUCCUGGUCUUGACGGUACCAUCAGAGGAAGGGACGGCUAACUACGUGCCAGCAGCCGCGGUAAU
rnacentral:rRNA from 1 species